rnacentral:tRNA from 1 species
GCUGGCGUAGCUCAGCAGGUAGAGCAGCUGCCUUGUAAGCAGCAGGUCGCGGGUUCGAGUCCCACCGCCAGCUCCA